rnacentral:misc_RNA from 1 species
CUGAGUGAUUUGGGGCCGCCUGCCUAUGUAGGCGUGCACCGGUUACCCGUCCUUAUGUCAUUAGCACGGACCUGCUUUCUUGCGCUGACCCUAUGGGUCGGUCUGCAGACUGCGGGGACGAGACCCACAUUUCCGUCGAGGUGGCGCGUGCCCUCCUGGAGCCGGGUAACUCUUGGCUCACUUGGAGGGACCCACGCCCGCGGCGGGUAUAUAAAUCACUUUUUUUUCACUCUUACGAGAAUGUGAAGUCUGAAGUACCAAAGAAAAACAAUUGAAGCA